CUGAAUGGAAGGGCCAUCGCUCAACGGAUAAAAGGUACUCCGGGGAUAACAGGCUGAUACCGCCCAAGAGUUCAUAUCGACGGCGGUGUUUGGCACCUCGAUGUCGGCUCAUCACAUCCUGGGGCUGAAGUAGGUCCCAAGGGUAUGGCUGUUCGCCAUUUAAAGUGGUACGCGAGCUGGGUUUAGAACGUCGUGAGACAGUUCGGUCCCUAUCUGCCGUGGGCGCUGGAGAACUGAGGGGGGCUGCUCCUAGUACGAGAGGACCGGAGUGGACGCAUCACUGGUGUUCGGGUUGUCAUGCCAAUGGCACUGCCCGGUAGCUAAAUGCGGAAGAGAUAAGUGCUGAAAGCAUCUAAGCACGAAACUUGCCCCGAGAUGAGUUCUCCCUGACUCCUUGAGAGUCCUGAAGGAACGUUGAAGACGACGACGUUGAUAGGCCGGGUGUGUAAGCGCAGCGAUGCGUUGAGCUAACCGGUACUAAUGAACCGUGAGGCUUAACCUU
rnacentral:rRNA from 1 species